GUUUAGAGCCUUUGAUGUCUCCGUUUUUCAAGAAAAUUGUGAUUUUAUAGUGGUUAUUCCAUCAAUUUAGGGAGUAUUAUGAAGUUUUACUAAAUUAAUUGAUAAAAACAAUUGAACGAUGCUCAUUUACAAUGAAAAACAGUUUAGCAUACAUUAAUACAAAUUUAGAAUAUGGUUAGAAAUUUUAAAACAACACUAAAGAUUAUAGGCUUUAGUAUAUAAUGUAUUUACCAAAAGCUCAAAAUAUUUGUAGGGGUUAGUUAGCCCAUAGAUUUUGAGAAAAUUUCAAAAAAUAUUAUAAUAUUGGUUUAAUGCCUAGUUGCAUCCUGCACUAACAUAUGAUGAUGUUCAAAGAGGUUUGGAGCCUUUGUCGUCUCCGUUUAUCAAGAAAAUAAUAAUUUUAUAGUGGUUAUUCCAUCGAUUUAGGGAGUGUUAUGAAGUUUUACUAAAUUAAUUGAUAAAAACAAUUGAACGAUGCUCAUUUACCAUGAAAAAGAGUUUAGCAUACAUUAAUAAAAAUGUAGAAUAUGGUAGAAAUUUUAAAACAACA